rnacentral:rRNA from 1 species
CUCCGGUUGAUCCUGCCGGACCCGACUGCUAUCAGAGUGGGACUAAGCCAUGCGAGUCGACGUAGCAAUGCGUGGCGAACGGCUCAGUAACACGUAGUCAACAUGCCCAGGGGACGUGGAUAACCUCGGGAAACUGAGAAUAAACCACGAUAGGUCACGAUUUCUGGAAUGGAUCAUGGCCUAAAUCUACAUGGCCCCUGGAUUGGACUGCGGCCGAUCAGGCUGUUGGUGAGGUAAUGGCCCACCAAACCUAUAACCGGUACGGGCUCUGAGAGGAGAAGCCCGGAGAUGGGCACUGAGACAAGGGCCCAGGCCCUAUGGGGCGCAGCAGGCGCGAAACCUCUGCAAUAGGCGAAAGCCUGACAGGGUUACUCUGAGUGAUUUCCGCUAAGGGGAUCUUUUGGCACCUCUAAAAAUGGUGCAGAAUAAGGGGUGGGCAAGUCUGGUGUCAGCCGCCGCGGUAAUACCAGCACCCCGAGUGGUCGGGACGAUUAUUGGGCCUAAAGCAUCCGUAGCCGGUUCUGCAAGUCUUCCGUUAAAUCCAGCCGCUCAACGGAUGGGCCGCGGAGGAUACUACAGGACUAGGAGGCGGGAGAGGCAAGCGGUACUCGAUGGGUAGGGGUAAAAUCCGUUGAUCCAUUGAAGACCACCAGUGGCGAAGGCGGCUUGCCAGAACGCGCUCGACGGUGAGGGAUGAAAGCUGGGGGAGCAAACCGGAUUAGAUACCCGGGUAGUCCCAGCUGUAAACGAUGCAGACUCGGUGAUGAGUUGGCUUAUUGCUAACUCAGUGCCGCAGGGAAGCCGUUAAGUUUGCCGCCUGGGGAGUACGGUCGCAAGACUGAAACUUAAAGGAAUUGCCGGGGGAGCA